ACAGGUCAGCGAAGAGACGGUCAAAAGAGUAACACUGAGACAGACAGGGGAGAACACACUCAGACAGACGGGGAGGACAUGUGACAAGUUGAAAUUAAAUUGAUAAAACCAUCAGCUAAAUGUAAUGUAAGGAUAUGAAAAUAAGCUUGUGUUUCUCUUACAUUGUUGAUUUUGUUUAAUAUUGUGUGAUUUCAGUUGUUAUCGUGUUAAUUAGUGAUCAACAUUUUGGUCUUGAUCUUAAGUCUGAGAUCGAUUGCUUUAGUCUCUGCCAACCUACCUGGGUAAAGCGCAAUUUUUGGUCCUCACAGUAAAGUUGUUACUGUGGAAACUCGUGAUGUUCAGGUACAUGUUGAACUUUGGAGUAAACAUAUCUGUAGCAUGUUGCCGCUGAGUUGUUCCUGACAGAAGUGAACUGUGUGUUUGUGUGUGUAAAAACAUCUUCCUGUACACAGAUAGUAAUAAUUAGUAUUGAAACUUAAUUUAUUUUAUUUUUGUGAUAUGUUUUAUGCACUUUAACGCAGUUCUGAAAGCGGUUGUGUGAGUACUGAGAUUAAGAUGCUAUGAGAUACUAUAGUUAAUGUUUUCAUGUAAACAUCUGUUUUAAGAUUCAUUUAUUUCGGGUAGCUUUAUUCUGAUAAGUGGUGUUUUCGUUUGGUGACCUGUGAUCCUUGUGAUGUCAUAUCCUGUGGAUUGGCGCUCUUCCCCGCAGUUCGCGCUCCGCUGAGGAGCGUGAGCUCGAACCGUUGCUUCGGUCGAUGAAGUUAAACCAGGUAAAAACUAGCUAAAGUCAAAAGAGGCGCAGAUGGGACUUAGUACGUAACAUAGCUGCGCGUUUUUCACGUAGUUAACCGUGUCCCGCACUUUGUGUAACAUGCUAGCUAGCUAGCUACCUGAAGCUAAGCCGGGAGCAUGGAGACCACGUGCGGCUAAUCCUUGACAGGUGUGCAUGGAGACCUGGGCACAUGAACCUGCUGUACUGAACAGGAACGUUAAACAUUCUUAACUCAGUCGUAGCUGUGGUCUCCUGAGGAAACACCUGUUACCUUGGCGACAGGUUGGGGCAGGGGGGAGGUGAGGGGGAGGCACAGUCAGUCACCCCCCCGUCACCCUCUCCUCUCUGGGGUUGAGGAGCGCCGGGACCUCCAGCGAGCUGCGCCUCCUGAGCCUGACGCUCCAGACGACUCUGACGCCGGAUGGUCUGGUCCUUCUCACGCACGAUCCGCCGCAGCGUGUGGACCUGAGAGUUGGUGUUGGCGUGCAUGUCCUGCACAGGUGACACGUGUUCAAGGAAGCCUCUUGUUUACUGAUCACAUGAAAAAUCCCCAAAAUAACAUGUGUAAAAUGUUCUGCUCCAUGGUAGCAGCACUGACCCGCAGGAGACGCUCGGACAUCUGAGGACAGAGAGAGAGAGAGAGAGAGAGAUCGAUCGAUCAGUGCAACACCUGUCUGUCUGUAAAACGGUCUGUCUCUCCACCUGUCUGUCUCACCGUGCCCAGGCUGUCCUCCAGCUCCUCCACUCUCUCCAGAGCAGCGGUUUUCGUCUCUGCGUCUUCGAGCAGCGUCCCGACGUCGAACACGUUGUCAAGACCAGUCGAGAGUUCUUCAGAGUGCGACGACUCGGCAGUGUGUUGGAGCGGGUCACCAGAGCGGAGCUGUAACCACCACGACAGGUCACCUGCACCAGGGACUUGUUGCCAAGUCAAUGAAGGGUUUGGAUCUAUUGAAUGAUCUGGAUGACCCCCAGCUUCAGCUGUCGACUGGCCAGAUGAGUGGGGAAUCAAAGGCACUGACUGACACACACCAUCAAAGCUCCACUCUCAAACAUCCCCCUAGCCAAACUGGCCUUUGGUAAAGUUUACUUAAAAGUCAGCGGUUGCCUACCUGUCGAUCUCCCAGCUCUCUGGAUUCACUGGCUGAAGUGAGUUCAUCUGCAGAUGCUGAAGUAAAAAAAGAAGUAAGCGUUUGACUGUGUGCCAGAUGCACUUAAAGUGACACCACAAGAUCUGCCAAGCAAAGGACUGAGAAGAAAUGUAUAGUUGAAAAAUAUGAUGUGCAGUUAUUUCUUAAAUAUAAUUCCAUGUGUGUGUAAUAAAUGCGUAUUCAUA